CCUACGGGUGGCUGCAGUGGGGAAUAUUGGACAAUGGGGGCAACCCUGAUCCAGCCAUGCCGCGUGUGUGAAGAAGGCCCACGGGUUGUAAAGCACUUUCAGUGAGGAAGAACGCCUGGUGGUUAAUACCCAUCAGGAAAGACAUCACUCACAGAAGAAGCACCGGCUAACUCCGUGCCAGCAGCCGCGGUAAUACGGAGGGUGCGAGCGUUAAUCGGAAUUACUGGGCGUAAAGCGCGCGUAGGUGGCUUGAUAAGCCGGUUGUGAAAGCCCCGGGCGCAACCUGGGAACGGCAUCCGGAACUGUCAAGCUAGAGUGCAGGAGAGGAAGGUAGAAUUCCCGGUGUAGCGGUGAAAUGCGUAGAGAUCGGGAGGAAUACCAGUGGCGAAGGCGGCCUUCUGGACUGACACUGACACUGAGGUGCGAAAGCGUGGGUAGCAAACAGGAUUAGAUACCCUGGUAGUC
rnacentral:rRNA from 1 species